AUUGAACGCUGGCGGCAGGCCUAACACAUGCAAGUCGAGCGAGCGGCGGACGGGUGAGUAAUGUCUGGGAAACUGCCUGAUGGAGGGGGAUAACUACUGGAAACGGUAGCUAAUACCGCAUACCAUCCGAUUUGCCCAGAUGGGAUUGGCUCGUAGGUGGGGUAACGGCUCACCUAGGCGACGACCCCUCGCUGGUCUGAGAGGAUGACCGGCCAACCUGGAACUGGGACACGGUCCAGACCCCAACGGGAGGCAGCAGUGGGGAAUAUUGCACAAGGGGCGCAAGCCGGAUGCAGACAGGCCGGGUGUGGGAGGAAGGCCUUCGGGUGGUAAAGCACUUUCAGCGGGGAGGCGUUACCCGCAGAGGAAGCACCGGCUAACUCCGUGCCAGCAGCCGCGGUAAUAC
rnacentral:rRNA from 1 species